UGGGGGAUAACUACUCGAAAGAGUAGCUAAUACCGCAUACGAUCUGAGGAUGAAAGCGGGGGACCUUCGGGCCUCGCGCGAUUGGAGCGGCCGAUGGCAGAUUAGGUAGUUGGUGGGAUAAAAGCUUACCAAGCCGACGAUCUGUAGCUGGUCUGAGAGGACGACCAGCCACACUGGGACUGAGACACGGCCCAGACUCCUACGGGAGGCAGCAGUGGGGAAUUUUGGACAAUGGGCGAAAGCCUGAUCCAGCAAUGCCGCGUGCAGGAUGAAGGCCUUCGGGUUGUAAACUGCUUUUGUACGGAACGAAAAAGCUCCUUCUAAUACAGGGGGCCCAUGACGGUACCGUAAGAAUAAGC
rnacentral:rRNA from 1 species